rnacentral:rRNA from 1 species
CCUACGGGGGGCAGCAGUCGAGAAUCAUUCACAAUGGGGGAAACGCUGAUGGUGCGACGCCGCGUGGGGGAAUGAAGGUCUUCGGGUUGUAAACCCCUGUCAUGUGGGAGCAAAUUAAAAAGAUAGUACCACAAGAGGACGAGCCGGCUAACUCUGUGCCAGCACCCGCGGUAAUACAGAGGUCUCAAGCGUUGUUCGGCAUCACUGGGCGUAAAGCGUGCGUAGGCUGUUUCGUAAGUCGUGUGUGAAAGGCGCGGGCUCAACCCGCGGACGGCACAUGAUACUGCGAGACUAGAGUCAUGGAGGGGGAACCGGAAUUCUCGGUGUAGCAGUGAAAUGCGUAGAUAUCGAGAGGAACACUCGUGGCGAAGGCGGGUUCCUGGACAUUAACUGACGCUGAGGCACGAAGGCCAGGGGAGCGAAAGGGAUUAGAUACCCGGGUAGUC